AGAGUUUGAUCCUGGCUCAGAUUGAACGCUGGCGGAAUGCUUUACACAUGCAAGUCGAGCGGCAGCGCGGGGCAACCUGGCGGCGAGCGGCGAACGGGUGAGUAAUGCAUCGGAACAUGUCCAUGUCGUGGGGGAUAGCCCGGCGAAAGCCGGAUUAAUACCGCAUACGCCCGAGAGGGGAAAGUGGGGGACCGCAAGGCCUCACGCGAUUGGGUUGGCCGAUGUCCGAUUAGCUAGUUGGCGGGGUAAGAGCCCACCAAGGCGAUGAUCGGUAGCUGGUCUGAGAGGACGAUCAGCCACACUGGGACUGAGACACGGCCCAGACUCCUACGGGAGGCAGCAGUGGGGAAUUUUGGACAAUGGGGGCAACCCUGAUCCAGCCAUUCCGCGUGAGUGAAGAAGGCCUUCGGGUUGUAAAGCUCUUUUGUCCGGAACGAAACGGAUACGUCUAAUAAGCGUGUCUACUGACGGUACCGGAAGAAUAAGCACCGGCUAACUACGUGCCAGCAGCCGCGGUAAUAC
rnacentral:rRNA from 1 species